UGAAAGGAAAUUUCCACUAAAAAACUCAAACAUAUAGGAACGAAGCACUGCUUGCUUCGAUUUUUGCUAGAUAUAUGGGUUUUACUCACUUUGGAUUGGAUUGUCAGCCAACGUGUUAAGUCAGCUUUCGCCUUUCCGCGAGUUAAAAGCGAUGAAAGUUGUCUGUCAUUUUCAGGCAAAAACUUUCAAGUGCUAUGUGUUUCUUAAUACCUCUGGCUGUUGGGGGCUCCUUAAAUCUUGUUCCUCGUACAUUUGGUCCCUACCUAAGUUCAACAACCUCUCUUCUCUUUGAAAUCUCAGUGCCUCCUUCGCUUCCAAGGCUCUCUUCCCAUCGAUCCUAUCAGGGUUCUGUUCAUUUUCUCAAUUGUCCCGUUUGGUUCGUGCACUUGGAUUCGUUUCAAUUGUCUUUCUAUUUUUUUCAUAGGAGUUUCUUGGAUUGCAAGAUGAUAGGUGCAUUAUUUAUCAUAUUUUCAUAUAAAUUAUCCUAAGUUUUGUUAAGGAAUUGAUUAUAAAAGAGCCUUAUUACUUUCCUUUUCUCAGUUUCAGCCAAUCUGUGCACUUAGUACGUGUUUGGUGAUAAUUCGACUUUCCAG
rnacentral:lncRNA from 1 species